ACGGGAGGCAGCAGUGGGGAAUAUUGCACAAUGGGCGCAAGCCUGAUGCAGCAACGCCGCGUGCGGGAUGACGGCCUUCGGGUUGUAAACCGCUUUUAGUAAGGAAGAAGGGGCUUCGGCCUUGACGGUACUUGCAGAAAAAGGACCGGCUAACUACGUGCCAGCAGCCGCGGUAAUACGUAGGGUCCGAGCGUUGUCCGGAAUUAUUGGGCGUAAAGAGCUCGUAGGCGGUUUGUCGCGUCUGCUGUGAAAUCCCGAGGCUCAACCUCGGGCCUGCAGUGGGUACGGGCAGACUUGAGUGGUGUAGGGGAGACUGGAAUUCCUGGUGUAGCGGUGGAAUGCGCAGAUAUCAGGAGGAACACCGAUGGCGAAGGCAGGUCUCUGGGCACUUACUGACGCUGAGGAGCGAAAGCGUGGGGAGCGAACAGGAUUAGAUACCCUGGUA
rnacentral:rRNA from 1 species